AUUGAACGCUGGCGGCAGGCCUAACACGUGCAAGUCGAGCGGAUGAGAAGAGCUUGCUCUUCGAUUCAGCGGCGGACGGGUGAGUAAUGCCUAGGAAUCUGCCUGGUAGUGGGGGACAACGUUUCGAAAGGAACGCUAAUACCGCAUACGUCCUACGGGCGAAAGCAGGGGACCUUCGGGCCUUGCGCUAUCAGAUGAGCCUAGGUCGGAUUAGCUAGUUGGUGAGGUAAGGGCUCACCAAGGCUACGAUCCGUAACUGGUCUGAGAGGAUGAUCAGUCACACUGGAACUGAGACACGGUCCAGACUCCUACGGGAGGCAGCAGUGGGGAAUAUUGGACAAUGGGCGAAAGCCUGAUCCAGCCAUGCCGCGUGUGUGAAGAAGGUCUUCGGAUUGUAAAGCACUUUAAGUUGGGAGGAAGGGCAGUAAGUUAAUACCUUGCUGUUUUGACGUUACCGACAGAAUAAGCACCGGCUAACUCUGUGCCAGCCGCCGCCGUAACAC
rnacentral:rRNA from 1 species